UAGUGUUCAUCAUGGCGAGCAGAUGGCACCAAGAGAACUGGAGCCCCUGGCCAGUAUGAGUCGUAGCAGUGCAGGAGGGGAGACCCUGGAGGAGAGCCCGCCUAAAUUGAUGUCUGCAGAUGAUUGAAUUUCCAGAGGCUUAGGAGGAAGUUCUCCA
rfam:Tupaia belangeri cont1.121103, whole genome shotgun sequence.